rnacentral:rRNA from 2 species
UGCUGUGAGCUCGAUGAGUAGGGCGGGACACGUGGUAUCCUGUCUGAAUAUGGGGGGACCAUCCUCCAAGGCUAAAUACUCCUGACUGACCGAUAGUGAACCAGUACCGUGAGGGAAAGGCGAAAAGAACCCCGGCGAGGGGAGUGAAAAAGAACCUGAAACCGUGUACGUACAAGCAGUGGGAGCCCCACCACUAAGCCAGUGGUGAACUCCACAUACGCAUCCUUUGCUGAGGAUACGGUUAACGGAGCGAAAGCGACGUUCAACCGCAAAAGAAGCAGAGGGGGCUUAGUGGUGGGGUGACUGCGUACCUUUUGUAUAAUGGGUCAGCGACUUAUAUUCUGUAGCAAGGUUAACCGAAUAGGGGAGCCGGAGGGAAACCGAGUCUUAAUUGGGCGUUAAGUUGCAGGGUAUAGACCCGAAACCCGGUGAUCUAGCCAUGGGCAGGUUGAAGGUUGGGUAACACUAACUGGAGGACCGAACCGACUAAUGUUGAAAAAUUAGCGGAUGACCUGUGGCUGGGGGUGAAAGGCCAAUCAAACCGGGAGAUAGCUGGUUCUCCCCGAAAGCUAUUUAGGUAGCGCCUCGUGAAUUCAUCUCCGGGGGUAGAGCACUGUUUCGGCUAGGGGGCCAUCCCGGCUUACCAACCCGAUGCAAACUGCGAAUACCGGAGAAUGUUAUCACGGGAGACACACGGCGGGUGCUAACGUCCGUCGUGAAGAGGGAAACAACCCAGACCGCCAGCUAAGGUCCCAAAGUCAUGGUUAAGUGGGAAACGAUGUGGGAAGGCCCAGACAGCCAGGAUGUUGGCUUAGAAGCAGCCAUCAUUUAAAGAAAGCGUAAUAGCUCACUGGUCGAGUCGGCCUGCGCGGAAGAUGUAACGGGGCUAAACCAUG